GACCUGUCAAUGAGUUCUGUGAUAAGUUAAGAAUUGCUGAUAGAAAAGAAAGGCCAAGGAUUUGUUCGGGUAUGCUGCCCUUCAAUUUAUUUCUUGACACAUCAAGAAAACGAAGGUUUUGGCAGUUACCAAGACUUGGAGUUAUAUUUCCUUCGAAUUUGUUUCCUUCUAAUUGAAGCCAAUAUAGCUUGGUGAUGUUACCUAGGAACACU
rnacentral:misc_RNA from 1 species